UUCUGCAUCCGAAAGUGAUCUAGGCUGCCUGUGCCUAGGUCAUUGAUAGUGCAGGGAGAGGAACGCUGAAAGAGGUUGUCCCCGUGUUUGGAGGGUCCACCCUAUCCCAUCCAAACCCUGAAGCUUUCACACA
ensembl:snoRNA SNORA71 Small nucleolar RNA SNORA71